UCUACCAAUGGCAGCAGCAGCUUCCCACUAAUGAAUGUGAUGACCUGGGUUGGUCCUCGACCGCUGGACAAAGGGCAGCAAGCGGUCCCUCUUCCAGAGCAGGAUGUCAGAAUACUACUGUCACUAGGCUCCUAAUCUGAAUUGGAGUGUUGGGAGAUAAGACCGACAGCAAGCAGUCCCUCUUCCAGAGCAGGAUGUCAGAAUACUACAGUCACUAUAAUCCCAAUCUGAGUGUUGGGAGAUAAGACUGACAGCAAGUGGUCCCUCUUCCAGAGCAGGAUGUCAGAAUACUACAGUCACUAUAAUCCCAAUCUGAGUGUUGGGAGAUAAGACUGACAGCAAGUGGUCCCUCUUCCAGAGCAGGAUGUCAGAAUACUACAGUCACUAGGCUCCUAAUCUGAAUUGGAGUGUUGGGAGAUAAGACUGACAGCAAGUGGUCCCUCUUCCAGAGCAGGAUGUCAGAAUACUACAGUCACUAUAAUCCCAAUCUGCAUCGGAGUGUUGGGAGAUAAGACUGACAGCAAGCGGNNNNNNNNNNAUCAACCCUCAUCCUGGUAGGGUUUUGUUUCUCAUUGUCUAUGGCUACAUGUCUGAUGUGGAAUGUGUUUGAGUCUUGUCUUGCACAAAAUGAUGUACAUCAUCAAGUGAUCAGUCUUGUUAAGAGAGACACAUUCAGGUCAUUAAAUAUGUUUUGUUGUAUUUAGUGGCUUGUUUUGUAGAACACAUUUGUUCUUAUGGGUUUUAGUUAAUUAUGGCUCUAAUAAUAUAACCAUUUUCUGACAUGAAUCUCAGGUGCUGAGGCUGUACUGAAGCAGCUCUCGGGGGAAGCGUUUGUGGAUAAGCAUAUGGCUGAUCUCAUUCAGAGGGUCAAGAUGGUGCUGCAUGUAGCAGAUGACCUGCUUGUGGAGGAGAUGAUACCAGAUGAAUUGCACUCAAGACUCCUUAUGGCUGGGACCAGUCAGGAACAAAUGAGACUAAUGUCGGAUGCUUUACAAGCAGGAGGAACAAGAGUGAAAUCUGCCUUCUACAAAGCUCUCCUUAACCAUGAACCUCGUCUUGUCCAGGACCUGGCAGCAGCUUCCCACUAAUGAAUGUGAUGACCUGGGUUGGUCCUCGACCGCUGGACAAAGGGCAGCAAGCGGUCCCUCUUCCAGAGCAGGAUGUCAGAAUACUACUGUCACUAGGCUCCUAAUCUGAAUUGGAGUGUUGGGAGAUAAGACCGACAGCAAGCAGUCCCUCUUCCAGAGCAGGAUGUCAGAAUACUACAGUCACUAUAAUCCCAAUCUGAGUGUUGGGAGAUAAGACUGACAGCAAGUGGUCCCUCUUCCAGAGCAGGAUGUCAGAAUACUACAGUCACUAUAAUCCCAAUCUGAGUGUUGGGAGAUAAGACUGACAGCAAGUGGUCCCUCUUCCAGAGCAGGAUGUCAGAAUACUACAGUCACUAGGCUCCUAAUCUGAAUUGGAGUGUUGGGAGAUAAGACUGACAGCAAGUGGUCCCUCUUCCAGAGCAGGAUGUCAGAAUACUACAGUCACUAUAAUCCCAAUCUGCAUCGGAGUGUUGGGAGAUAAGACUGACAGCAAGCGNNNNNNNNNNGAAUAGAAACAAGCCCUGCACUAAAACUCUUGAUCCAAAGGUGCUCUUUAAAAGAUAUUGUUGAGUCAUGAAAAGUUUGUUCUUACAUUG
rnacentral:lncRNA from 13 species